UACGUAGGGUGCGAGCGUUAAUCGGAAUUACUGGGCGUAAAGCGUGCGCAGGCGGUUCGUUGUGUCGGCGGUGAAAGCCCCGGGCUCAACCUGGGAAUGGCAUUUGGGACUGCAAGGCUGGAGUUUGGCAGAGGAGACUGGAAUUCCUGGUGUAGCAGUGAAAUGCGUAGAUAUCAGGAGGAAUACCGAUGGCGAAGGCAGGUCUCUGGGCUAUAACUGACGCUCAUGCACGAAAGCGUGGGGAGCAAACAGG
rnacentral:rRNA from 1 species